rnacentral:rRNA from 1 species
GGUUCAGGCUCUCGUUGGUGACCAGCGGAGGGAUCAUUACUGAGUUAUCUAAACUCCAAAACCCUUUGUGAACCUUACCGUCGUUGCCUCGGCGUGAGCUGCGGCUACCCUGUAGUGGUUUACCUGGUAGCUACCCGGUAGUCGGCCCACGGCCCGCCGAAGGACCGUUAAACUCUUGUAUUUUACCACUGUAUCUCUGAAUGCUUAACUAAAACAAGUUAAAACUUUCAACAACGGAUCUCUUGGUUCUGGCAUCGAUGAAGAACGCAGCGAAAUGCGAUAAGUAAUGUGAAUUGCAGAAUUCAGUGAAUCAUCGAAUCUUUGAACGCACAUUGCGCCCGUUAGUAUUCUGGCGGGCAUGCCUAUUCGAGCGUCAUUUCAACCCCUAAGCCCGGUUGCUUAGCGUUGGGAGUCUACGGUUACAGCGUAGUUCCUAAAAGUUAGUGGCGGAGUUAGGGUACACUCUUAGCGUAGUAAUGUCUCUCGCUCGUGUGGUGUCCUUGGCUGCUGGCCGUUAAACCCCCUAUAUCUUCUAGUGGUUGACCUCGGAUUAGGUAGGAAUACCCGCUGAACUUAAGCAUAUCAUAAGG